GUGUCGGCAAGAGGUUGAAUUAUUGACAGAAAGAGAGGGGAUUUAUCAUGUCAUAAAUUUAAGUCGGUGAGAUACACUAUCGCUAUUUGUUUUGCCGCUUUUGUGAAACACAGCAAACAUGAUCAAAGUCGUGACAUCUGAAGAAGCAUGUUACCUUCAUUGUAACUGUCUCCACAUAACGAAGAUUUGAGAACGUUAUCAAUGACGUAUUUGACAAGCUUCCACUGGCUUAUCGUUAAACCUCCAUCAAGUACGUGGUCUACAGACCAAACCAACGUUUGUAUACUAAUCAGCGGGGCCGAGAUAUUGUGGUCUACCACGCCCCUACUGGAGGAAGAAAACACAACUUUCGUAUGUGUACAAUAGAUAACGUAGAAACUGAGACGCAUAUUUACGUGUAAGUAAAGUCCAAUAUGAUCAUUGUAAUCUUACUUUGUCAGAUAGGGAUAGAAAUAAUGAACUUGCAACAAAACGUU